rnacentral:rRNA from 1 species
GCGCCUAAUAACUAGCCCACUAACAAGAAAAAACACCGAAAUAAAUAUUCUGAUAAGACCUGCAACGCACACAACAAACCAUUUUCCCCCUUUAGUAUAGGAGAUAGAAAAAGAC